rnacentral:rRNA from 1 species
CAGUCGCCGCGGGAACACGAACCGUGCAAACGUUACUCGGAAUCACUGGGCUUAAAGCGCACGUAGGCGGCGACAUAAGUUAGAGGUGAAAUCCCAUCGGCUCAACCGUGGAACUGCCUCUAAUACUGUGUUGCUUGAGGGAGAACGGGGCAUUCGGAACUUCCGGUGGAGCGGUGAAAUGUGUUGAUAUCGGAAGGAACGCCGGUGGCGGAAGCGGAAUGCUGGGUCUCUUCUGACGCUGAGGUGCGAAAGCUAGGGUAGCGAACGGGAUUAGAUACCCCCGUAGUCCCUGUCUCUUAUA